GAUUUUCAUUCAAAAUUAAAAAGUUAAUUUAUCUUAGCUAGUUUAGAUAAUUUCAGUUAAAAAGAAAUUUAGAGGUAUAUUAAAUGGCCUGCCUACUCCUUUGAGUCAAUAAUUUAUACAACUGGGGGCCUUGUAUAGCUGCGGGCUCCUUUGAGUCAAUAAUUUAUAUAACUGGGGGCCUUGUAUAGCUGCGGGCUCUUAACGCUUUCAAGUGUGGUUCAUGAAGCCGAGCUCUGGGCCUAAAAAACUUGGGUUUGAAACAAAUUAAGACGAUGCAUUUCUCUCUCUAUCUUUUGUCUAAUCACACCCCACUAAUAGAAUAGUUCAUUAAAAAUUCUAUUUUUCUUCUCCUAAACUUCAGAUAGAUUAGUAAUUUGGACAGUUAAAUUCACUAGUCCUUCCUGCAACAGAGAAAAAAAAAAUCAUUAUAUCCUCUCUAGUUUACCUUCCAUCACUUAGGAUCCUUAACUAUCUUUUAAUUGUUAUGAUUGUCUUAAUAAAAAACUAAUUUAACUAUUUUACCAUUGUAUCGUAAAAUGACUAAAUUGUCCAAAAAAAUUAGACCUAAGCACAUGAUAAAAGUCCAAAGAAAAAUUUGAGAGAUUUAAUUUGUUAAUUAUGAAAACUGAUGACUUAUUUGAAUUUUCAAAAAACAUGAAAGAAAAUAAUGUAAAUUUUCACAUUACCAGUGGGGUGUGAUUACACAAAAUAUGGGGUGGAAUUAUCACCAUGCUUGUAAGAGAUACAAAGUGGUUCCAUAAAACUCUAUUUAAGAAAUUAUUUUUUCUGUAUAUUUUUUAUGUUAAAAUGAAUAGAUUCAAAAUGAAUUUCCUUUUACUUUUGCUUUGGGUACAUACUACAAAUCUUUUAGGAAAGGAAGAUUAUAAGUUUCAUUCUUUAUAAAUAUCAUAUUAACUGCCUACAAUCCUACUAAAUUUUUAAUUAUCUGUUUUAUCCCUUUCAUUAAGAGAUAGCAUAUAAAGUUAAUAUUUUUUUUAUUUACUUCUACCCCUUCUUAAAAGAUUUUAUGACAUUUCUUGUUGGAGUUUUAUUGGUAUUUCAAACCACUAAUAUCCCACAUUUGAGGGAAGUGAGAGCAAUCAUCUUUUUAUUUGAAUUGAAAUUAGUCAUGUGUUUGAUUUAAGUAUAAAGUAGAAUUGAAUAAGUGAAAUCUACAUGUGAUUUGGAUUAUUUAAGUUGAAUUAAAUUACGAAACAUAUGGAUGACUAAUUCAAAUUAAAUAAGGAAAGUGGUGACUACCUCUCCUUAAGAAAAGGAUUAUAGAGGAUUUAUCUAUAUAAGGGAGACAUACAAAGCCUUCAAGGCACUGGUACUACAUCUCCUUCUAUCUCAUAUUUUCUUAUCAAUUUUCUCUUCCUAUUUAAAUCUGUUGCACUUAGAGUGCGACCUCACAACAGUUUCAUUGAAUCUUGGAGGUCAAUCUGUUUUAUUUAUGUUCUUUUUGCAUCGAGAAAUCUUCCUUAAAGGAGCAAAAAUUAGUCAACAAGAUAGUGCUUCACAUAAGUCUUGACAAACUUAUAGUUGCUACCAGAUGAACAAUGUUGUAAAUAAUAUCAAACGGACAAUACUAGUGAACGGUGAUGUGAAUAAUACCAACAGCUACUAUUCAUGGAAUUCUAUUCUUCAUGUUUCAUGUUCAUCUUAGUUUAUUGAUAGUCAAUGUUUAUUGAUUGAUGUUACUUAUUCGGCUAGUUUUGGAGUUCAAAAAGGCAAUAUUCACUCAUGUUUCCAACAUUUCUAAGUAGGUUGAUGUCAAAAUUAAAGAGAAGAUGAAAAUGAUUAAUCAUAUGUAACUACCAAGAGAAUGCUUGCAUUUUUCAUUUUCUUCUAGUCCCAAUGACUUUUGUUAGAUUUUAAUUUAAACUUUAAAAUAUUACACCUUGAAUGACUAUUUGUUUUUCUUUAUUUUCACAAUUUAUUCUGUUAUCUCUUAACGGAAGGGAUGAAACAUGCAAGUAAACAUAUAGGAUGAAUGUAAGUGGUAAAUAUUGUUAGCCUAAAGGGCUAUACAUAAUAUAAUUUUGAUGAUAACAAACAUGUGUCUUAAGUAAAAAUAAUAAAUAUUGUAUUUCACAUUUUCACUAGUUUUUGAAGGAUAAUAUUUAUGCAAGUGAUCAAGUGAAAUCAAGAUUGAAGACACUCAACGGACAACGGCAAAAUCAAGAAUAAAGUUUAGAGCUCAACGGAUAAAUUAUUGCGACAAAUUCUUGUUAAGCCAGUAUGAUUUAAUUAAUGCAUGAUUUAGCAUUUGAGAAGCUCAAGAGAUUAAUUUAAUUAAAUACUUUUUAUAAACUAAAAUGUUUUAUUUUUAUAAAGUAAAGUAUUUUGUGGAUUUAAGUAAUUCGAACUUAAAUGCUAAGAUUUGAAAUCUUUGAUUUUAAAUAAGUAUUAAAUUUCGGAGUUGGACGUUUUUAUAAACAUUUGAAAUGUUUUGGGCCAUACUAAAUUUAUGAAUAUUUUGGACUAAAGUGAAAGGUUUUGAGAACUUUGAAAAAUAUGGGUAUUAUGUUGAAAAGGACCUUUGUGUGACAUAAUAAAAUCUUUGGGGCCAUAUCAUAAUUUCAAAAAGUUUGGGAAAGACAACCAUUCUUAGGAAGUUCUGAAAUUGGACCUAUUUAUAAAGUUUUAUGACGUUUUGGGUUAUAAUAUAAUUAUAGAAAAUUUUGGGUCAAAGUGUAAUUUCAGUGAAUAGAGUUACUGUAGCAAAAUUCAAAAAUAACGGUAAUAUCACUGUUCCUAAGCGGCUAGCCAGAUAAUCAAGCGGCUAACCGCUUGAGCACGGGAAUUUACCUAUAACUGCUAGUUUUUGGGCUUUCACUAUAAAAACUCAACUCAAACUUCAUUCUAAGGUCUAAUGCACGCAAAUAUAAGAUCAUACAACAUAUAUUGAGCUUUCAAAACGCAAAUCAUCAUUGAUUGA
rnacentral:lncRNA from 1 species